rnacentral:rRNA from 1 species
GUAAUGGCCUACCAAGGCGACGACGGUAGCCGGCCUGAGAGGGCGACCGGCCACACUGGGACUGAGACACGGCCCAGACUCCUACGGGAGGCAGCAGUGGGAAUAUUGCACAAUGGGCGAAAGCCUGAUGCAGCGACGCCGCGUGAGGGAUGACGGCCUUCGGGUUGUAAACCUCUUUCAGCGGGAAGAAGCGAAAGUGACGGUACCUGCAGAAGAAGCGCCGGCUAACUACGUGCCAGCAGCCGCGGUAUACGUAGGGCGCAAGCGUUGUCCGGAAUUAUUGGGCGUAAAGAGCUCGUAGGCGGCUUGUCACGUCGGAUGUGAAAGCCGGGGCUUAACCCCGGGUCUGCAUUCGAUACGGGCUAGCUAGAGUGUGGUAGGGGAGAUCGGAAUUCCUGGUGUAGCGUGAAAUGCGCAGAUAUCAGGAGGAACACCGGUGGCGAAGGCGGAUCUCUGGGCCAUUAUGACGCUGAGGAGCGAAAGCGUGGGGAGCGAACAGGAUUAGAUACCCUGGUAGUCCACGCCGUAAACGUUGGGAACUAGGUGUUGGCGACAUUCACGUCGUCGGUGCCGCAGCUAACGCAUUAAGUUCCCCGCCUGGGGAGUACGGCCGCAAGGCUAAAACUCAAAGGAAUUGACGGGGCCCGCACAAGCAGC